rnacentral:rRNA from 1 species
AUUGAACGCUGGUGGCAGGCCUAACACAUGCAAGUCGAGCGAGCGGCGGACGGGUGAGUAAUGUCUGUGAAACUGCCUGAUGGAGGGGGAUAACUACUGGAAACGGUAGCUAAUACCGCAUACCAUCAGAUGUGCCCCGAUGGGAUUAGCUAGUAGGUUGGGUAAUGGCCCACCAAGGCGACGAUCCCUAGCCGGUCUGAGAGGAUGACCAGCCACACUGGAACUGAGACACGGUCCAGACUCCUACGGGAGGCAGCAGUGGGGAAUAUUGCACAAUGGGCGCAAGCCUGAUGCAGCCAUGCCGCGUGUGUGAAGAAGGCCUUCGGGUUGUAAAGCACUUUCAGCGGGGAGGCGUUACCAGCAGAAGAAGCACUGGCUAACUCCGUGCCAGCAGCCGCGGUAAUUC